GGGGCGUACGGCGGAUGCCUAGGCACCGAUGGCCGAUGAAGGGCGUGGCAAGCUGCGAUAAGCCGCGGGGAGCUGCAAACAAGCUUAGAUCCGCGGAUUCCCGAAUGGGGAAACCCGACUCGACAAAGCCGAGUCACCUAGCAUCUGCUAGGGGGAUACCCGGUGAAGUGAAACAUCUCAGUAACCGGAGGAGAAGAAAUCGAAGGAGAUGCCCUGAGUAGUGGUGAGCGAAAGGGGUAGAGCCCAAACCGAUCGUGUGUUAAAGCCUGCGGGCGUUGCACGGUCGGGGUUGUGGGAGCGCACCUGAUCCGGCCGCAGACGGAUCGGGCAGUUACAAACCGCAUGGUUAGCCGAAUGGUGUUGGAAAAGCCAGCCAUAGAGGGUGAAAGCCCUGUAGGCGAAAACCAUGCGGCUGCCUGGGUGCGCAUCCCAAGUAAGCCGGAGCACGCGGAAUUCUGGCUGAAUCCGGGCCGACCACGGUCCAAGGCUAAAUACCAUCGGUGACCGAUAGCGCAUAGUACCGAGAGGGAAAGGUGAAAAGAACCCCUGGCGGGGAGUGAAAUAGACCUGAAACCGUAUGCCCACAAGCUGCCGGAGCCACACUUGAAGUCAUCUUCAAGUGUGGUGACGGUGUGCCUAUUGAAGAAUGAGCCGGCGAGUUGCAGCGCGUGGCGAGGUUAAGGGCGGAGACGUCCGGAGCCGUAGGGAAACCGAGUCCGAAUAGGGCGUCAAGUCGCACGUUGCAGACCCGAAGCCGCACGAUCUAUCCAUGGCCAGGUUGAAGUCCGGGUGACACCGGAUGGAGGACCGAACCAAUUGGUGUUGCAAAACCAUUGGAUGAGCUGUGGAUAGGAGUGAAAAGCUAAUCGAGUGCGGUGAUAGCUGGUUCUCCCCGAAAUGCAUUUAGGUGCAGCCUCUUGCGUUCAGUGACGGAGGUAGAGCACUGGAUGGGUGAGGGGGGUGGUGACCCUACCGAACUCAACCAAACUCCGAAUGCCGUCACUUAAAAGCAGGGGAGUGAGACCGUGGGGGAAAAGCUCCGCGGUCGAAAGGGAAACAGCCCAGACCGACGGCUAAGGUCCCCAAUGCGGGCUAAGUGUGGUAAGGAUGUGGAAGAGCUCAGACAGCCAGGAGGUUGGCUUAGAAGCAGCCAUCCUUGAAAGAGUGCGUAAUAGCUCACUGGUCGAGCGCUUCUGCGCCGAAAAUGUAGGGGGCUAAGCUCGCAACCGAAGCCUCGGAUCCGAAAAGCCAGAUCUUUUCGGAUGGUAGGGGAGCGUUCCUGUUGGGCCGAAGUCGCAUCGUGAGGUGCGGUGGACUGACAGGAAGUGAGAAUGCCGGCAUGAGUAGCGUUAAAGCAAGUGAAAGACUUGCUCACCGGAAGCCCAAGGGUUCCUGGGGAAGGGAAUCCGCCCAGGGUUAGGCGGGACCUAAGGUGUAGCCGAAGGGCGAAGCCGAUGGACAGCCGGUAGACAUUCCGGCCCCACCUUGGUGACGUUUGUACCGAAGGGGUGACGCAGGGAGCUAGGCACGCUGGGCGAUGGAAUGCCCAGUCCAAGGGAGUAGGGGGAGCCUUCAGGCAAAUCCGAGGGCUCGAAACCCCGAGACCUGAUGGGGAGCCUUAAUUAUAAGGCGAAGGUGUUGACGCUGCACUGCCGAGAAAAGCCUCUAGGGAGGAGCCAAGGUGCCCGUACCCUAAACCGACACAGGUGGGCUGGUUGAGCAGACUGAAGGUGUACGGGAUAACUCUCGCUAAGGAACUCGGCAAGUUGACCCCGUAACUUAGGGAGAAGGGGUGCCCGCGUUAGGUGAACUCUUUUACAGGGGUAGCCGAGGCGGGUUGCAGAAACCAGGUCCAGGCGACUGUUUAAUAAAAACACAGGGCUCUGCUAAAGGCGAAAGCCGAUGUAUAGGGCCUGACACCUGCCCGGUGCCGGAAGGUUAAGGGGAGGGGUUAGCCAAAGCAAUUUGGCGAAGCUCCAAACCGAAGCCCCGGUAAACGGCGGCCGUAACUAUAACGGUCCUAAGGUAGCGAAAUUCCUUGUCGGGUAAGUUCCGACCUGCACGAAAGGUGUAACGAUCUGGACGCUGUCUCAGCGAGAGNNNNNNNNNNNNNNNNNNNNNNNNNNNNNNNNNNNNNNNNNNNNNNNCCCGGUGAAAUUGUGGGACCGGUAAAGACGCCGGUUACCCGUGGUUGGACGGGAAGACCCCGUGGAGCUUUACUGUAGCCUGAUAUUGGACUUUGGUACGUCAUGUACAGGAUAGGUGGGAGGCUGUGAAGCUAGGGCGCCAGCCUUAGUGGAGCCACCCUUGGGAUACCACCCUUGAUGUGCUGGGGUUCUAACCGCGAAAGCGGAACAGUGUCAGGUGGGCAGUUUGACUGGGGCGGUCGCCUCCUAAAGAGUAACGGAGGCGCGCGAAGGUCACCUCAAGGCGUAUGGAAAUCGCCUGAAGAGCGUAAGGGCAUAAGGUGGCCUGACUGCGAGAGCGACAGCUCGAGCAGGCACGAAAGUGGGUCCUAGUGAUCCGGCGGUUCCGAGUGGAAGGGCCGUCGCUCAACGGAUAAAAGCUACCCCGGGGAUAACAGGCUGAUCCCGCCCGAGAGUUCCUAUCGACGGCGGGGAUUGGCACCUCGAUGUCGGCUCAUCGCAUCCUGGGGCUGUAGCAGGUCCCAAGGGUUGGUCUGUUCGCCCAUUAAAGCGGUACGUGAGCUGGGUUUAGAACGUCGUGAGACAGUUCGGUCCCUAUCCACCACGGGCGUAGGGGGUUUGAGAGGAGCUGCUCCUAGUACGAGAGGACCGGAGUGGACGAACCUCUGGUGUACCGGUUGUGGCGCCAGCUGCAGGAGCCGGGUAGCCACGUUCGGAAAGGAUAACCGCUGAAGGCAUCUAAGCGGGAAGCCUACCUCAAGAUGAGACCCCCCACUGGGAAAGCCAGGUAAGGUGUCCUGGAGAUGACAGGGUAGAUAGGCCGGAGGUGGAAGCCCUGUAAAGGGUGUAGCUGACCGGUACUAAUACACCGAGGCCUUGUCC
rnacentral:rRNA from 1 species